AAAACAAUGAACAAAGAAAAUGAUUCCAGACAUGCUGCUUCAAUACAUUUUAUAUUACCUUGACAAUUUCAAGGCAAUUCAAGCUCCUACUCUUCGCCCUCACAACAGAACAUCCUAUAACUAUCUGGUGGCAUUUUACAGACUAAAAUUCAAAACCUUACCCCCCGAACUCCGACAAAUCACUCUGGUCAGCAACAAUCCUACAUAGAUCACUCACCCAAAUAUGUUUCCCUUUCAACACAAUACUUGUGAUCUAUACAGUGACAAGAGGGGCUUGCUCUGAUGGUAAGCAACCCCCACUUACAACCGAGAGGUUGUGAGUUCGAGUCUCCCCAAGUAAUCAAGGCAAGAGGGGCUUGCUCUGAUGGUAAGCAACCCCCACUUCCAACCGAGAGGUUGUGAGAUCGAGUCUCCCCAAGAGCAAAGGUGGGUAGUUCUUGGAAGGAAGGAUGCCGGGGGUCUAUUUGGAAACAGCCUUUCUACCCCAGGGUAGGGGUAAGGUCUGCGUACAUUCUACCCUCCCCAGACCCCACUAAGUGGGAUUAUAUUGGGUUGUACUUUACUUGUGAUCUAUACAGUACCUUACAUGCACUGCAAAUGCUGUGAAUCUGACAGUUUUGGAAUAAGGAUGUUCAAUUUCUUGCUCAAAUCAAACAGCAAUUCUCAAUUAAACAUUUGCAAUACACAUUUACCAAAUCUGAUACAGCAGUGAGUAAUCUCGGAUAUUAAUAAUAAAAUUGCCAAAAAAAAAAAGAAGUACCAUAUGCAAUAAAUACAGCUCAAACGAUCCAUAUAACCCCUUGAAGAUUAUAAUUCACCAGAAAAAAAAAAACUAAGAAAUAAGAUUAACAGAAAAACUAAAGUCGAUUUCAUUUGCUACUAUAUCGGGGAAAGUAUUACUGGAAUCAAAACCAGUCGCAAAAACCCUAAAAGUAAGUACCAAACACUACAGAGGUCACAGAGAUCCGAAAUGAAAGCCGAAAAAAGCAGUAAUAAUAAAAAAAAAUUAAAAACACAAAUUAUCCAUAAAAACCUCAGAAUUUCUAUAUAUCAUAUGGACUCAAUUUCUACAACUCAAAUAAGUAAAUGAGAAAAUAAA
rnacentral:lncRNA from 1 species